CGACGUGGGGAACCUGCCCUAUACAGGGGGAGUAACAGCUGGAAACGGUUGCUAAUACCGCAUAAGCGCACAGAAUCGCAUGAUUCAGUGUGAAAAGCCCUGGCAGUAUAGGAUGGUCCCGCGUCUGAUUAGCUGGUUGGUGAGGUAACAGCUCACCAAGGCGACGAUCAGUAGCCGGCUUGAGAGAGUGAACGGCCACAUUGGGACUGAGACACGGCCCAA
rnacentral:rRNA from 1 species